ensembl:lncRNA
GCAAGUUUCUUUAUCUCCCCUCCGCCCCCGCCGCAGGGCCGCGCCGUCCCCCCCCUCCCACGGCGCCCCCUUCACCUGGGCAGAGCCCCUCGCCGGCUGUCGCAACUUUGCUCUUCUCCACGCUGCCGGGGAAGCGGGCGAAGCGCGAGGAGGAGGGAGGUGGCGGGGGGUGCUGGGAUCAGGCCGCUGGGCUCUGGGAGGACACGUGGGGGAGGAGGGGAAGGAGGAGGAGGAAGGGGGGGCGGGCCUGCAGUUCUCGGGGCUCCCCCUGCCAGCCCCGGGGAAGCCGGAACCUCGCCAGGCAGCCGCAGACCCCGCACUGGCCACGGGGGAAGAACGGAGCCACCUUCCCCGGCCAGCCCUUGGCUCCAGGAAGGAGGGGGGGCGAGCAACGCCGCUCGGGGUCGGAGAGCAAGCGUUUUCGCUCGAGCUUUCUGUGUGACUCUCUCUCUCUCGGUUUAGCCUCUGUGCCCAGAGGUUCCAUCCCUAAGCUAUGGGGUGUCUUCUCUCCUUUGGAAGGACUUUAGAGAUGGCAGUUGUGACUUGCCUGGUGUGUCUGCCUCACCUGGUUUGAAGGAUGCGCGACACCCUUCACCUGGCCAAAUCCUUCAAGCCCCGUUUCCAUGAAGCUUUCUCUGAAUGCUUUUGCCUUUGAACUCUUGACCCCAUAGAUGAAAAAAUUGAAGUGCAUUAAGGUUCAGUGACUUGCUCAAAGUUGCCCAGUUAGUAACUUUUUUUUUGACCACCCCCCAUGCCAUGUGAUACCUUAGUUCCUUGACCAGGGAUCAAACCCAUGACCUCUGCAUUGGAAGGCAGAAUCUUAACCACUGGACCACUGGUGAAGUCCUAUGGCUCAGUGGUAAAGAAUUCGCCUGCCAAUGCCAGUGACAUGGGUUCGAUCCUGGUCUGGGAAGAUCCCACAUGCCAUGGAGUAGCUAAGCCCAUGCACCACAACUACUGAGCCUGUGCUCUAGUAGAGCCUGGGAGCUGCCACUACUGAGCCCACGUGCUGCAACUACUGAAGCCUAGAGCCUGUGCUCCACAACAAGAGAAGCCACUACAACGAGAAGCCCGCACACCACAGGUUGAGAGUGACCCCCGCUUGCUGCAACGAAAGAAACGCCCUUGCAGCAAUGAAGACCCAGCACAGCCAAAAAUAAAUAAAUAAAUAAAAUGUUUA